GACGAACGCUGGCGGCGUGCUUAACACAUGCAAGUCGAACGGAAAGGCCCUGCUUUUGUGGGGUGCUCGAGUGGCGAACGGGUGAGUAACACGUGAGUAACCUGCCCUUGACUUUGGGAUAACUUCAGGAAACUGAUGCUAAUACCGGAUAGGAGCUCCUGCUGCAUGGUGGGGGUUGGAAAGUUUCGGCGGUUGGGGAUGGACUCGCGGCUUAUCAGCUUGUUGGUGGGGUAGUGGCUUACCAAGGCUUUGACGGGUAGCCGGCCUGAGAGGGUGACCGGCCACAUUGGGACUGAGAUACGGCCCAGACUCCUACGGGAGGCAGCAGUGGGGAAUAUUGCACAAUGGGCGGAAGCCUGAUGCAGCAACGCCGCGUGCGGGAUGACGGCCUUCGGGUUGUAAACCGCUUUCGCCUGUGACGAAGCGUGAGUGACGGUAAUGGGUAAAGAAGCACCGGCUAACUACGUG
rnacentral:rRNA from 1 species